rnacentral:rRNA from 1 species
UACGUAGGGGGCGAGCGUUGUCCGGAUUUAUUGGGCGUAAAGCGCGGGCAGGCGGCCCCGUAAGUCGGCCGUGAAAGCGCCGGGCUCAACCCGGCGAGGACGGGCGAGACUGCAGGGCCCGAGAGAGGCAGAGGGCGGUGGAAUUCCGGGUGUAGUGGUGGAAUGCGUAGAUAUCUGGAGGAACACCGGUGGCGAAGGCGGCAUCCUGGACCAACACUGACACUGAGGAGCGAAAGCCAGGGGAGCAAACGGG